rnacentral:rRNA from 1 species
UACGUAGGGCGCAAGCGUUAUCCGGAAUUAUUGGGCGUAAAGAGCUCGUAGGCGGUUUGUCGCGUCUGCCGUGAAAGUCCGGGCUCAACUCCGGAUCUGCGGUGGGUACGGGCAGACUAGAGUGAUGGUAGGGGAGAUGGAAUUCCUGGUGUAGCGGUGAAAAUGCGCAGAUAUCAGGAGGAACACCGAUGGCGAAGGCAGGUCUCUGGGCAUUAACUGACGCUGAGGACGGAAAGCAUGGGGAGCGAACAGG